rfam:Cephalotus follicularis DNA, scaffold: scaffold790, isolate: St1.
AAACCAUGAUGAGGACACUCUAAGAGAAGAUCCUUAAAACGUUCCAUACACCUAGAAAAUGAUUCAUUAGGUCUUUGGCGAAAUUGAAAAAUGUCGUUCCUAAUCUU